rnacentral:lncRNA from 1 species
GCAGCAGUAGUGUGACUUCUAGAUGGUGAACCAAUACUGCAAGUUAUUUCUCCCUCGCCCAUCGAAAUAAACAUCACUUUCUUUUACAAGUUUUAAAUUGCACCAUGCUGUUGCUGGCUAGCCAGCAUAAACUAGCUAGCUAAGAAGGGUUCAUCAGGACAAUUUACUGAACCAAAUCCAUUCGACAUGCGUCAUCAAUUUGGGCACCAGGCGUGUCCGUAUAGCCUCUCCCCUUUAGCUUGGCAGCUGUUUUUAUGUUAACUCGAUUGUUUGUGCUCGACAAAAUUCUGCAACCAGACCAUGUUGUGGAUUCUUAUGACUGGAGGACUCAUUGACUAGCUGGCUACAACAACCUGGAGGUGGCAGAGCAUCUCCAGAAGCAAAGGGCUGACAUCAACGCACAGGACAAAGGAGGCCUCAUCCGUUUGCACAAUGCUGCCUAAUACAGGGUCCGUCACCUCAAAGAUUACAUCAGGCUUUUGAAGAUGUUUUACAUGCAAACCGCGUUUUUGCCUCAGCUCCUGCUUUUCCCAGUUUCUCUUUCUUUGACCCUUGCCUGUCCUGACUCGGAGCCCGCCUGCCUGACCACUCUGCCUGACCCUGACCUGCACCAUUGCCCUACCUCUAGAUUAUUGACCACUGCCUACCUUGAGCCUGCCUGCCUGCCAUCCGGCAGAUGAUAUCCGUACUCUGUUGAUGUACACAAUGCCCUCAGACGCAGAGAAGAGGGAUCACCAGCUCAUCAAACUGUCCAUUCUCGGGACAACAUACAUUGCUCGAUCGGUACUUGAUUGGCCCAUUUGCCACCUAGCCAAACAGACUGAUAUUUUAAUGCAGAAAUCCAUGACCUAUUGUAUUUUAACAUUUUGUGUGUAUUUCUUAGAAGCUGGCAAGCUAGUGGCGGGCUGUUCUGAGGUUCAAACAGUUUAAUUGUGUUUAACAUCUGCUUAUAAUCAGUUAUCAGUUAUUACACAUGAAAAGAUUAGCUGUGGAAUUUUCCA